GACGAACGCUGGCGGCGUGCUUAACACAUGCAAGUCGAACGGAAAGGCCCUGCUUUUGUGGGGUGCUCGAGUGGCGAACGGGUGAGUAACACGUGAGUAACCUGCCCUUGACUUUGGGAUAACUUCAGGAAACUGGGGCUAAUACCGGAUAGGAGCUCCUGCUCCAUGGUGGGGGUUGGAAAGUUUCGGCGGUUAGGGAUGGACUCGCGGCUUAUGAGCUUGUUGGUGGGGUAGUGGCUUACCAAGGCUUUGACGGGUAGCCGGCCUGAGAGGGUGACCGGGCACAUUGGGACUGAGAUACGGCCCAGACGCGUACGGGAGGCAGCAGUGGGGAAUAUUGCACAAUGGGCGGAAGCCUGAUGCAGCAACGCCGCGUGCGGGAUGACGGCCUGCGGGUAGUAAACCGCUUUCGCCUGUGACGAAGCGUGAGUGACGGUAAUGGGUAAAGAAGCACCGGCUAACUACGUG
rnacentral:rRNA from 1 species